rnacentral:rRNA from 1 species
AGGCUGAAAUUCGCCUUCAUGAAGCCGGAAUUGCUAGUAAUGGCAGGUCAGCAUACUGCCGUGAAUACGUUCCCGGGGCCUUGUACACACCGCCCGUCACACCAUGAGAGUUGGGGAUACCCGAAGCCUGUGAGCUAACUAUUUAUAGGAGCAGCAGUCGAAGGUAGAAUCAAUGAUUGGGGUGAAGUCGUAACAAGGUAUC